GCUCUGAACUUCAAAGGAAAAGUGAUGACUCAGUGGUGGCUUUAAAGGUGGUACCUAGAGGAUACAUGGAAAAGAGUGUGUAGUCUUACACUGAAGUUAUGGUCCUGGCUCUGCAACAUCAUCAUCAUGAUCUAGCAGUUACAUAGUACUUACUAUGAAGUAGCAAUUGUGCUAAGUGUUUUACAAAUAUUAUCCUUUUAUCUUAACAAAGACUCUUGAGAGGCAGACACUAUCAUUGCCACCAUUUCAGUAUCAGAUGUGAAGAUUGGAUUUAGCAAUCUCCUGAUUGUAACAAUGAAGAGUUGGAAGUUAUACUCAGAAACUUAAGGUAGAAGAAAAAAGAAAGAAAAACAACUCAAAAUAUAAAAACAGAUAUUCCUAACCCAGCAAAGAAUUCUCACUGAGAAAAGUGCCUCUACAUCAAUGAAUUAUGAGUGAUAUCUUUGAGAAGGCAGAAUACAUGUAAUUUGUA
rnacentral:lncRNA from 1 species